rnacentral:rRNA from 1 species
UACGUAGGGGGCAAGCGUUGUCCGGAUUUAUUGGGCGUAAAGAGCGUGUAGGCGGUUAUACAGGUCCGCUGUGAAAACUGGAGGCUUAACCUCCAGACGUCGGUGGAAACCGUAUAACUAGAGUCCGGAAGAGGAGAGUGGAAUUCCUGGUGUAGCGGUGAAAUGCGCAGAUAUCAGGAAGAACACCCGUGGCGAAGGCGGCUCUCUGGGACGGUACUGACACUGAGAGACGAAAGCUAGGGGAGCGAAUGGG